UUGCUCUAGCAGCAGGUGCAUGAAAAUGGGAAAGUAGCAGCACAGAAAAGCACGGCCUCUGCACAAGGAUGAGGUACAAAUUCUCUAAGUGUUCCAUAUUUUU
ensembl:snRNA U6 U6 spliceosomal RNA